AGUUGCGAAGGCGGCUCUCUGGACUGUAACUGACGCUGAGGCACGAAAGCGUGGGGAGCAAACAGGAUUAGAUACCCUGGUAGUCCACGCUGUAAACGAUGAGUACUAGGUGUCGGGGGUUACCCCCCUCGGUGCCGCAGCUAACGCAUUAAGUACUCCGCCUGGGAAGUACGCUCGCAAGAGUGAAACGCAAAGGAAUUGACGGGGACCCGCACAAGUAGCGGAGCAUGUGGUUUAAUUCGAAGCAACGCGAAGAACCUUACCUAAGCUUGACAUCCCAAUGACAUCUCCUUAAUCGGAGAGUUCCCUUCGGGGACAUUGGUGACAGGUGGUGCAUGGUUGUCGUCAGCUCGUGUCGUGAGAUGUUGGGUUAAGUCCCGCAACGAGCGCAACCCUUGUCUUUAGUUGCCAUCAUUAAGUUGGGCAC
rnacentral:rRNA from 1 species